GAAAAUGCAAUCAAAUGUUUUAGAGCUUAUUUUCCUUUUCUUAGGAUUGGGUAAUAUCACCUUACCUAGGCACUUCCACACUCUUAGAUAUUUAAGGUUAGGUUAUAAUAACCUUUCCACAACUCAUAGGGAGUUCUACCAGUUUUCUUAUGAAGUAUUCUAUUUUGUAAAAAACACACAGUAAGCAAGGCAAGGCUUCUCCCAAAAGGUUAUCAGGUGCACUAUAACUAAGAAGCAUCGCAUUCAUCAUCUAAGAGUUCUGUAUUCUUUCUCUAAGCUACUCCAUUAGACACAGAUGAAUAUGGUGGAAUUACUUCAUAGAUGAUACUUCUUUAACACAAAAAUCAUUAAAUAACACAUACUCACCACCUCUAUCUGAUCUAAACAUCUUAAUUUUCUUAUUUACUUAAGAACUUAUAUGUGGUGUAUUGCGCAAGCCCCCUA
rnacentral:lncRNA from 1 species